GCCCAUAUGAGCGUUGCUAAAGAUAGACGGAAUAAACCGGAUAAAAGAAACGGAAACGAACAGCGCCACCACCCACACAGCAGGUCGGACACGAGGAAAAAGAAUUUCAUCGAGACAUUUCAAUUAUGCAGGAGACGCGCUCAUUGGGAGGAGAUCACGAUCGAACGAUCGAGACGAAACCGGUGUCAUCUAUCGGAGUCCCGUGAUAUUACAAGCGAAAUCUGGAUAGAAGCCAGUUUGCAACACACAAACAGCUGAUUUCUUUGUGUUAAAAAAUUGAAUGAUUUUGCUAUUUCGAGAUCUUAAUAAACAUUUUCUGGGUACACCAAAAUGGUAGACAUUGGGCAAUAGGGAGUGGGAAGUACGUAUCAGUUUCGGACCAUUCUAAGAAUAACUUACGUAAGCGUUCGUAGAGGAAGACUAAACAUAACGACUCAAUAAUAUUCAACCGAGUCGAAA